rnacentral:rRNA from 2 species
UGGGGAAUAUUGGUCAAUGGGCGAAAGCCUGAACCAGCCAUGCCGCGUGGAGGACGAAGGCCUUCGGGUCGUAAACUCCUUUUCUGAGGGAAGAACCGCUGAGAGAGGAAAUGCUCUCGGUCUGACGGUACCUCAGGACUAAGCAACGGCUAACUCCGUGCCAGCAGCCGCGGUAAUACGGAGGCUGCAAGCGUUGUUCGGAAUUACUGGGCGUAAAGGGAGCGCAGGCGGUUAGGUCAGUCUGAAGUGAAAGCCCGGGGCUCAACCCCGGAAGGGCUUUGGAUACUGCCUAACUUGAGUACGUGAGAGGAGAGCGGAAUUCCAGGUGUAGCGGUGAAAUGCAUAGAUAUCUGGAGGAACACCGGUGGCGAAAGCGGCUCUCUGGCACGCUACUGACGCUGAGGCUCGAAAGCGUGGGGAGCGAACGGG